rnacentral:rRNA from 1 species
GGAUCGGCUAACUCCGUGCCAGCAGCCGCGGUAAUACGGAGGAUCCGAGCGUUAUCCGGAUUUAUUGGGUUUAAAGGGUGCGCAGGCGGGAGAUUAAGUCGGCGGUGAAAUUUUGCAGCUCAACUGUAAAAGUGCCUUCGAAACUGGUUUCCUUGAGUAUGGAUGAAGUAGGCGGAAUUUGUGGUGUAGCGGUGAAAUGCAUAGAUAUCACGAGGAACUCCGAUUGCGCAGGCAGCUUACUAAGCCAUAACUGACGCUCAGGCACGAAGGCGUGGGGAUCAAACAGGAUUAGAUACCCUGGUAGUCCACGCAGUAAACGAUGAUUACUCGCUGUUUGCGAUACAAUGUAAGCGGCUAAGCGAAAGCAUUAAGUAAUCCACCUGGGGAGUACGUUCGCA